rnacentral:rRNA from 1 species
GGUGACGAGUGGCGGACGGGUGAGUAAUGUCUGGGAAACUGCCUGAUGGAGGGGGAUAACUACUGGAAACGGUAGCUAAUACCGCAUAACGUCGCAAGACCAAAGAGGGGGACCUUCGGGCCUCUUGCCAUCAGAUGUGCCCAGAUGGGAUUAGCUAGUAGGUGGGGUAACGGCUCACCUAGGCGACGAUCCCUAGCUGGUCUGAGAGGAUGACCAGCCACACUGGAACUGAGACACGGUCCAGACUCCUACGGGAGGCAGCAGUGGGGAAUAUUGCACAAUGGGCGCAAGCCUGAUGCAGCCAUGCCGCGUGUAUGAAGAAGGCCUUCGGGUUGUAAAGUACUUUCAGCGGGGAGGAAGGUGUUGAGGUUAAUAACCUCAGCAAUUGACGUUACCCGCAGAAGAAGCACCGGCUAACUCCGUGCCAGCAGCCGCGGUAAUACGGAGGGUGCAAGCGUUAAUCGGAAUUACUGGGCGUAAAGCGCACGCAGGCGGUCUGUCAAGUCGGAUGUGAAAUCCCCGGGCUCAACCUGGGAACUGCAUUCGAAACUGGCAGGCUAGAGUCUUGUAGAGGGGGGUAGAAUUCCAGGUGUAGCGGUGAAAUGCGUAGAGAUCUGGAGGAAUACCGGUGGCGAAGGCGGCCCCCUGGACAAAGACUGACGCUCAGGUGCGAAAGCGUGGGGAGCAAACAGGA